UGAGCUACCAGUGAAAAGGUACAGGCUUGUUAUUUCCUUUGAAGCGACACUUAGUUGUGUAUUACUUGCAUAUUAGUUGAGCAUUCUUGACAUUGGCAGAUCAAAGAUCAAAUUUGAUGUUUAUUAUCUAUCGAUUACAAUUUCUGUUUCGGGUCACUAGGAUGGAUAAAGUAGUUCCUUGGAUAAGUAGAGUGUCUAUAAUUGUAUGACCUGGGCAUUUUAUCUAAUAUGUUUUGUCUGAAACAGAUUUUGGUUCAGUCAUCCCGUUAAGUGAUUUAAAUUUUCAUUAUUGGCACUGCCUUUUUACUUUACCUAAAUUAGUUUUGGCAUUUGCAAUAGAGGGAUGUGAAGUCCUGUCUUUUCAACAUUAUUAGCUCCAUCAUACUUGGCACUGAAGGGUUCUUCAUUUCAUGAAUAUUUGUCUUCAUUGAAAUGCAUUUCAAGAUCAGAAACCUCCCGCUUAUUGGCAGACAUGACUCGAUAAAAAGACGGAGGUAAACAAACUUUUAAAUAAAUUACUUUCAUUAUUCAUGACCCAUCACUGCCCUUGCUGUAGUUCUUGUUUUGUCAUACUGGAGACGAGGUGCUCGGCAUUACUUGAGUUCCAUGGCAGUUAUAUUAUCCCCUGAAGAUAUUUCAUUGUUGGAUCAAUACAACUUUACUGGCAAGUUAUCAUCCAACGUUUGAUGCUAGUUUCAGAAAACCAUAAUCCAGGAAAACCCCAACAAAAGUAGACAUGGUAAGCUUGUAAGUUUAAUGCCAUUGGCUUUAAACAACUGCGAGUCAACGAUGGAUAUGAAAUGGCUUACGAAAGUUGCAAAAAUUAUUGGCAUGUUGAUUUGUUUGAAAUUUCUUGAUGUCAGGUUAUGUAUGUAGCCGGCUUCAGCCAUGUCAGGUUAGUUAGGAGGAUCAUGACAAUGUAGAAAGCUACCUCAAUUACCAAAUACAAAAUUUAUUUAGUUAACACGAUGGACAGUGAAUCAUUUUCAGUAAACAGGUGAGACUAGAUUUGCUUAUCCGAAUAUAAAAGUGAGAUAAGAUUGAGCUUUGUACAUAUUCAUUUUCAAUUGCCAUUCCUCCUC
rnacentral:lncRNA from 1 species